GGAGAGACUUUACUCGCUUUGAAUUGGGCAAUUAUUGCAGACAUUCUCUUGGUCAUUUGGAGGUGAAUGCGUGAGAACAACGUUGAAGUUUGCAAUCUCCAAUGUCUCAUCAGAGGAGAAUGAUGAAGCCAGUUUCUUGAUCUUGUCCUAUAAUCUUAGCUAAAAAUCAUCUGAUUCUCAAGGAACUCUGAUUGUCACCUGGCUUUCCUUUUACCAUUGCAUCUUGACUGCGUGAAACGUACGAGCAUGAGCAGGCUAUUCAACGUCUGAAUUGUCCAAAUAUUCCAUUCAAUGUAUCAGAUCUGAACCUCAA